rnacentral:lncRNA from 1 species
AUGAUGUUUGCACCUGGCUUGUUUUUUGGAAUCCCAGUUUGGACCCUGAAAAAAACUGACACCCAUGCAGGUUCAAAAUCCAGAGCCGCUUCUUCUUUAAGCAUGUUCUGUUGUUUCAACACAACUUGGCAGAGCGGAAACGGAGGAGCAGGGAAAAAGAGGAGCAUCAGUUCCAGUCAACGUCGGAACAAUGCUGGUUUACAGUAACAUCAGUGGUGCCCAGCAGUCCCACCACCACAACCACAUCUUGUAAACCCCGUCCACCUGGAUGGCGUUAGCUGCUUGGACUUCACAACUGGAAUAACAGAUCAGAUCAUAGCAGGGUACUUUUGCCUUCUUAAGUGUGAAUGAUCUUUGAUCUGAAUAUUGCAGAACUUUCAGUGUUUAGAACUAAAUUAAAAUUCUUACUUCGUUGUAGCCUUUGUAGCAUGGGUGUGACAAACUUUGGAUCAAGAGGAAGAAGGGCAUCAACAUCAAGUGAGCCAGUGAUGCCGGAGUAAAAAGUUUUCAGUCACUCAGUGAGGCUUGUUGACUUAUUACUAUGUCAUGCAAAUUCUUGCAAAUAAGCCAAACUAUGAAUCGUAGUACUUUGCAUUAACAAUCAAAACAGCAUUACGAUGUUCAUAUAGGAGCAAUAUCGUGUGUUAUAAACGCGUAACGGUGUCUCCAUUGCAUAACAGAUAGUUACUUUACCUGUGCGCAAAGGAGGAUGAGCCACAUGACCAACGCUGGAAGUCUCCAUCGCGCAGGCAAGUUCUUCUUCCCCAUGAUUUUUGCGGAGGUAUAAACGUCUGAGGCUAACUUUAUGCUCUCCGUCUGACAGGGGAACACACCGGGAUCAGUUACCAGCAGCCUUCUUCAGACACAAUCGAAGCAAGUCACAUCUUCUGCCGUGCGUAAAAGGGGGUCGAGCCGAGCCGCAUCUCACGCGGUGUUCCUGUGGCUUCAUUUAGGCUGCUCCUCCGGCGCUCAUCCACUUGCUGUGAAGAAGCGCGGCGCAAGUAACAGCAUGUAAGAAGUGUCUCACGGAGACAGGAAAGGGGGGGGGGGGGCAGAGCUCCUCCCACCUAAUUAGAUAUGCAAAUAAAAAAAUCUUUUUUGUUUGUUUGCGCGGCCCACCCACUCAAUAUGAUAGUUAGGAUUCAAUAUUUGCGCAAACUUAAAAAACAAAAAACAAAAACAAGACGCACAAUUUCCCAGUGAGAAAGUGGAUAUUUCAAUUAGUGUCAUAGGUCAGGUAAGUUCAGUGAUGACCUCACGUCAGGUGUUAUCCACAAAGGCAAAGCGUUUGGCCUUCUCAGGAACAGAGUGGGCUACCAGCACAUUUCCUGGAGCGUGGGCUUUUUAAACAGCCGUGACCAUCUCCACACUGUCCCAAAAGUCAGCUAUGUAAAAAAAAAGUGAGUCCAGGAAAUGUUAGGGCUGCCUUUGAAGAGUGGAAAAGCAGCUCUGGCUUCCGUUUCUCUGGGGAUUUGCAUAACCCAGCCCACGCUGGCAAGUACACACGGAAGGUUAGGCAGAGUUGGAAUCAUGUUCUCUUUAAGAUGACAGUUAUGCAAAUCCUAAAUUGGUACAUCCUGGAGCUUAGAUACCUGGAAAGGGAAUGAAAAAGGAAUUGUGAAAUCUUUCCGUCAUGAUGAGAAAGUGAGAAAAACAAAGAUCCAGAGUUUGAUGUUGUUUCUACCUUCUUAACUUUCUGCCUCUGGUUGUAAAAACAUGCAGUGUGGAGCAGGUUUGUAAUGAAACCUCUGCUGUGUGCACAAUUGAGGUUUCAUUCUUGCCAAUCCAAUUAAAAUGUACAGAAAACAGUCAUGUCAGAUAACUAUGGCAGGAAAAUUAAAGUGUGGACUUUGAGAGGCUCCAGUUUAACCAGACUUUCAUGAAAAACAGCUUGAGGUUUAAAAGCCCCCUCGCUGUAGAAAAAAAAAAAAAAAGUGCGGGUUAAUGAGUUUUAAACUUAAGAUGACCUGAGCCACACAACUCUGGAAGAGUGGUGUGAAGGUUGUGUUGGUUAGCACAAGUCAUGGCGUGCGUUCCUUCCACAAGACGCACAUAAGUUAAGAUUUACACUACAAAGGGGAUGCAUGGUUCCGAUUAAUUACAAACAUGCCGGAUCCACAGAACAAAAGCUGCAGCUUUGAGUCUGACUUCCCAUAAACAGUAAAAAAACAAAAAACAUUUGGCACAAUAGGGUUCAUGCUAAGCCACACCCACAGAAAAACAAAAACACAGUUACAAAUUUUCAGCAAUUUUUUUAUGAUCAAAUCUGGUCCCUAAAAACAAAAUAUAUGAAUAUUUUUGUCAGUAGAAGGCUGUUGUGGCAUCAGUUCACUCAUUUCAGGCGUGUUUGACAACCAAUACAUAUCUAUACACAGAUAUGCCCCCACAUCCCCAUUUCCCGCCCCAGGUUUUAAAUAUUUGCCCACCUGGCUACUUAUCAGUGAUCAGAGUUAAACAUUAACCCAAAAAUGCAAAUUUAAGCCUUUAUAGCCGACAUAGUUAACUAGACUAUUGUUCAACUAUUUAGUCAACACUUCAAGGUGCACUGAGAAAAAAGUAAAAUGUAUGUGGGGAUCUUGAACUAAAAUAUGUCUUCUUUUAUAGCUGCAAUUCUCUAAAUAUACUCUCAAUCCUUUAAACAAAUCUGACAAUUUAACGUCUUUUCUUCUUUUAAUUUUUUUAAAUGACUAUCACCUGCUGGGAAUGUCCCUAAACGUGGACAGUCAAUAAAAAAUUCCAUAAG